GUAAUAUCCCCCUAAUAUUAUUUUAAGGGCAUUAUUAUAAAAAAAAAAGUAAGGUUAAGAGUGUAAUAUAUUCAACAACAAAUAGUGUCUUGAGUUUUUUUUUUUUUUUAAUAUAAAAACUAAACGAAUACUUUAAUUCAAAGUAGUAAGACUAAACAAACAUUUACCCCUAACCAGAACCUAACAUUUCAGUCCCCAUCGACACUAUCUCUUAACGACAUCUCUAAUACUCAUUAAAAAUCAAAUGAUGCAUUUGUCUACUGCACAACGAAACUUAAUAUACACGUCUUCAUUGAAUUGAAAAUUUUGUCGGCCGAAAUUUUUUUGGGCGGUGCUUAUUGCUAGGCCUGGCCAGAUUCUUGCUUGAGAAAUUUGCAUGCGUUCGUAAUUUGCAUGUCUUGAGUGUGCUUAAAAAUGAUGAUUUAUCAUUCAAUCUUUUUUGCAAAGUGCCCCACAAAAUUAAAUCAUAUGUAUGCCAAGCCAAAGUCAAUGAAUAAAAAAAGGUAACUUCAGUUCAAACUUUUUAUUGGCUUUCUUCACUUUGGCAAGCACAAUCAUACACCUUCGAUCAUGAUCAUGAUCAUGAAUCAUUGAGUUGAUGGGCAUCUUGCACUUCCCGAGGAAAUGUGCGUGUAUAUCACCAUUCUUUUCUUUCCUUUUUUUUUUUUUUUUUAAUUCACUCUCUUUUAUUGUUACUUUUAUUAUUAACAUGCAAUCAAAUAUCUGUCGAGACCUGACUUGAAUUAGGGUUAAUUGAAUUAUGAUGGGCGGCAUAACCACUUAUAACACUAAGUUGAUCUCGACCGCCCCUAAUUUUUUUAAAUUUUAAUUCCUUUUGACAGUAACCUAUAAAGUAAAUAAAUUAAGAAAUAAAUAAUGUUAACCUGUAGAAAUUAGUAAUGUUAACCUGUAGUAUUUUGAACACACAUGUAUAUGUAUGGUAAUUUAGUCAUUUUUUUUUACUUUAAAUUCCUUAUUUAGGCGGUGUUU
rnacentral:lncRNA from 1 species